CGCGAAUCGUAUAAUCAACCACCGCCACAAAAUUAUGCCGAGUACCCUCGGGGGUCGAGCUAUCCAAAUCGUGCAUCACGCAGGUCAAGAAGACCUCGCAGAACCUAUUAAACAAAAAGAAGUAAAUAGACCAAGAAAUGGUACGGGUGCACGUCAUUACACCUCCGGUGACGGUGAAUGUGGUGACAAUAAUUAACCGUUCUUUCACGGUAUUAUCGCAGCGAACAAUUCCAGCAAGGCACAAGGUCGAAGUAUUUCCGGCGGAUUUCGUGCUAGAAAAACUCCUGGAAGAUGAUUAAAAAACAAGAAACCACUGUGAUAUUAAUUAUAAGAACUCGUACCAAAUAAAACGACAAAAAACGAUAAAUAGUAUUGUACCUGUUAUUUAUGCGUAAAAAACACCUCGCAAAAACGCUCGAAGAAGAAAAAGGCAAAAUCCAAAAUCAUUUCAUCGUAACGUUCGACCAAAGUAACCGUAGAUACCGAGCAAAAAUCAAAAUUCAAUUCUGUAACAAAAAAUAAAAACACUCAAAAAACUCUGGUAUCGAAAGAAAUAGAAAUAGCAUGAGAGGGAAA